AGUGAACGCUGGCGGUAGGCCUAACACAUGCAAGUCGAACGGCAGCACAGUAAGAGCUUGCUCUUACGGGUGGCGAGUGGCGGACGGGUGAGGAAUACAUCGGAAUCUACUUUUUCGUGGGGGAUAACGUAGGGAAACUUACGCUAAUACCGCAUACGACCUACGGGUGAAAGCAGGGGAUCUUCGGACCUUGCGCGAUUGAAUGAGCCGAUGUCGGAUUAGCUAGUUGGCGGGGUAAAGGCCCACCAAGGCGACGAUCCGUAGCUGGUCUGAGAGGAAGAUCAGGCACACUGGAACUGAGGCAAGGGUCAAACUCCUAAGGGAGGGAACCGGGGGGGAAUUUUGGCAAAGGGGGGAAGCCUGAUCCAACCAAUACCGGGUGGGGAAAAAGGGCUUCGGGGUGUAAAGCCCUUUUUGUUGGGAAAAAAAGCAGGAAGUUUAAACCCCGCUGUUUUGACGGGACCCAAAGAAUAAGCACCCGCUAAAUUCGUG
rnacentral:rRNA from 1 species